AGCCGCGGAACAGCCCAAAACGGCCGCGGAACAGCCGCGGAGUGCCGCUCCUGGCCCUGCGCAGCCACCCCAAGCCUGCCCUGUGCCUGCGAGCGCUGUCCGGACCCGCGCCGAGCUCUGGCAGCCCCGGGCCGUGCCCGUCCCCGAGGGGAGCACGCAGCUCGCAGAACACACGGUUUAUGAGCCUACAGAAAAUUACUACCAAAAAUUAGCAGCAUAGCAUUCACUCGGCAAAGGGCAAAUGUGUUAAUCUGUAUGUGCAUUACUUACUACCCUCUGUGGGCCACUUACUUUAAAUCGUGGGUGGGUUUAUGAAUAUCAGCUUUUAUGGUAGCGCUUCAGAGGCUCUGGACGUGCAGCUUCCAUUCAUUGUGAGGGGAUUUGGAAAAAUCUCCACAGUGGCUUCUACUGUACCAGCACAUACACUGUGUCAUUAUUCUUACAGUGCCGGGCAGCCAAAAUGAAUUUUAAUGGCUUUGGUGUAUCACAGGCUUGGUCACGCCUUUGAAAUUCCUCAUGUCUAUAUUCCUGAUGGGGGAGAAAAGUCUCUCAGAUUCUAUUCAGUUAUGUUUUGUGAUGAUGAUACUUUCCUGUGAGUAUCUCAGUACCAAACAUUAACCCUGCAGGACAAAGAGCAGUUCCAGUUUGGAGAGCUCCCCUCCACAAAGGGGGAGCACACCAGUGGUUGGGACAGGUAGCAGGAUCUACAGGCAUGCUGCCAUUCCAAUUAUUUUUUAAUUUUUAAGUGGAUAUUCUCAUUGGUCCUCAAGGGGAAAGAGUCUCCAACAUGAGAUAAUUGUCUCUGGAUAAAUCUGGGAAAGGAGACAGACAAAGACACCUGGACAUAACAAACAUUUGAUUAAAUAGAGCCUUUCAUAACCCUUUUAAAGUGAUGUGAUUUGAACAGACAAGAAAGAGCAGUGAGGAGGGACUGUUCCCAGGGGGAAGGGCAGCGAGGAGGGGACAAAACAACCCCCAAGAGCCAUUGCAGGAGCUGCUCCCCUCUCUGCUUCUCUCACUUUUCCUUUUCUCCCAAGGUUCCAUGCAAGUUGCAGUACAACCAAGGUGAUCUGGAGACAGACGUUGUCCUCUGCGGUGCAUUAAUGCGACAUCCAGACCUGCACCAUCAUUCACGAAGAUGCUGCUGUUUGUGGUUUCAUUUCCCUUCAGCCGUUCAGUGCAGCCAGUCUCCAGAGCGUGUCCCUGUGUGCGAGACACCCGCGGCAGCUUUGCUGUCCCUCUCGUGCUGGUUCUGGCCCUGACGGAGGGGCUGUGUCACAUUUCGCUCCCGCAGCUCCGUCAGUCGAUGGCAGGGAGGGUUUUGUAGCCCUCGUUCCCGUAGUAGAUCUUACCUGCUGCUCUUUGUGGCGAGCUCUGUGCAGGCGCCGUGCUGUGAGUCACAGAGCAAGCAGAGGAGUCCUCGCCCUGCAGGCCUUGCUUUGCCUCAGUGGCUCUCAGCGCUGAAUUCCCGCUGCCGGCCUUCACGUGUCAGCCCCAACAAGAGCAGCCGGCAGCUUUGCCGUGACAGGGCUUUGCUUGUGCUUGCUGUAAGAGCCAAAGGAAGGAUUCCUGCUCGGAGCAGCCUUUGGAAAUCCUGACAUUUAAUCUGAAUACUCUGCAGGCAGAAUAGGUGCUGGGAAAGGAUUUAGGUUAGUAAAAGAAGCAGAUGAGACAUCCUUCAGAGCUGGAGUAUUACUAAAAUACCAGGUGCUUUUGAAAGGAUAUAAACUCUCUAGCUUGGGGUCAUAAAACUCCUUGAGGUUUUAGGAUGUAGAAAAGCCCUGCUAGGGAUAAUUCUUCCUCUCAUAUACACACUGAGAGCAUGUUUUAUUCCUCCAAGAUGGUGCUCACCACACGUUUGUCCCUGCUAGAAAGUGCACAUCACGUAUUUGAUUGUAAUUGCAUGCUGGACUCAUUUUCCCCUGAAUCUGUAUGUCAGUGGAUCAGCUUUAGCACGUGUGAGUCACUCUUUGGAGUGUGGGACGUAUUUGUGUUUCCACUGCCAUGGAAACUGUGUUUGUUCUCUGUACAGUAGAGCCCAGGACAGUGAAAGGGCCAUUGAUCCCAGCAGAGACAGUGACUGCGAGUUCACCACCGAAAACUGGCUCCGAGCACCCUGCACAUUCACUUGCCCUCUGGAAGAGAAAGCUGCAUGGCAAGUUACCAAGGAGCAGCAAGUCUUGGGAGCAGCAGAAUCUUCUCCGUUGCUUUAGUAAUGACAAAGCUGUGGGUUCUUCCCAGCGAGUCUGGUGCGUGGAGUUGUCAUAAAUAAUGAAGAUGAGGGGGAGGCUGGUCAUGUCUUACAUCCAUUUAAGGCUCAUUUCAGUGCCCUCCUGCGGAAUGGAUUGGGUUCCCUGUCAGGCAAGGACAAGGGGUCUUUCUUCACAAGGAUCAGGAAGAACUCCCCAGAUUUCAGAUGGGAUCUCAAGGCCACGGGGGAGCUAGCACAGGCACAUGCACGGGUGCAGCUGCAGAUAAAAGCAAGCAGACCUAAGGCAUCGGGUCAGGGCAGCUAUUUCAGCUCUGCAGAGAGAAAUGCCAGUAUUUCACUCCUGUUGUUUUCCUCCAAAUAAAUAAACAUCAUCCCAGUUUAAUCUUAGAUACCAAGAUUUGCUAAAUUAUUUUGUGAGCUCAUGUGAGCAGGAUCUAGGUUACGAAAAUGCAGCGAGCCGAGAUGAAAUCCAGAAGAUGUUCAGCACAAGGCAGUGCUGCACAAGGAGCUGCCCUGGUCCUUACUCCUGGCACUCCAGUGCAGGCAGAGCAAUGCCAGGAGCUGGAAUUUGGCUGGAGCAGCAUUAAAAGCUUUUCUUUUGAGGAUGGGGCAUAGUGAGGCUGGGGCAUGUCAGAACUUUACAUAUAAAGGCCACAAGUGCAGAGACUGUAUGCACUAAAUUAGAUUUAAUGGAAGAAACAGUAAUAUUUUCAGGGCUAUUUUAUCUCUUUAUGCACAAAUAUAAAACCAGACAAAGUUCUGACAUUACGUCCUUACCUAUCAUGGCUGGGUGUUUCUGGCCCAGUGGGUUUAAACAAGGAUGGAUGCAAUUCAGGUCAUGCUGCAGCUGAAGUGGGCGGAAAUUCUGAAGGGUUUGUCAUCAGUGUGCAAAAAAGUCGAAAGGAAGGAAAAUUCAGCUAUAACCACGCUUGUUAGUUCAGCAAAGAACAGUCACGUGGGAGCCUGGAGAAACCAGAUCAAUGAACUGAAAGACAACAAAUGAGAUGAGCCUUCAGCUGUGAAGGGAUGGAUGUUUCCUCAAUCAGGAAUGAACGAGGCAGUUCAUAGAAGUGGAAUACUCCACUCUGAAGGAGUAUUCUAAUUUUUGCCCAAGGAUCUCAGUUUUUCUUUUUGUCCUGAAAUAAACCAUGUAGCUUUCUGCUUCA